rnacentral:rRNA from 1 species
AUUGAACGCUGGCGGCAGGCCUAACACAUGCAAGUCGAGCGGAUGAAGGGAGCUUGCUCCUGGAUUCAGCGGCGGACGGGUGAGUAAUGCCUAGGAAUCUGCCUGGUAGUGGGGGAUAACGUCCGGAAACGGGCGCUAAUACCGCAUACGUCCUGAGGGAGAAAGUGGGGGAUCUUCGGACCUCACGCUAUCAGAUGAGCCUAGGUCGGAUUAGCUAGUUGGUGGGGUAAAGGCCUACCAAGGCGACGAUCCGUAACUGGUCUGAGAGGAUGAUCAGUCACACUUGAACUGAGACACGGUCCAGACUCCUACGGGAGGCAGCAGUUGGGAAUAUUUGACAAUGGGCGAAAGCCUGAUCCAGCCAUGCCGCGUGUGUGAAGAAGGUCUUCGGAUUGUAAAGCACUUUAAGUUGGGAGGAAGGGCAGUAAGUUAAUACCUUGCUGUUUUGACGUUACCAACAGAAUAAGCACCGGCUAACUUCGUG